UAGAGUAGCGUGUAAUGUGUGAGUGAUUGUCAGACUAGCCUUCCCUUACCAUGUGCAUCAAUGAGCUGGUUCACAGAUUGUCCUUACUUUAGGUAGGUACUAACCACUGCAUAACAAGAACUCCCAACAAGACUUGCCCUUUGGGAGACCGAGCCAUCACUAUGGUCCCUGCUUCCAAUAUAUGAAAUUCAAGAAAUGACUGUUCACUUGCUGCCUAAUAGAUCCUACCCCAUGGCAGGUGCCAUUAAAACGAUAAUCAAUAUUAACUUCACCUUCCAGUAGUUUUAUUGUUGUGGUUGAUAGGUAUGUGUGUGUAUAUAUAUAUUAGUAUAAAUUGCAUGUUAGAUGAAAAAUACUUGUUUAACUUGUAAGUGAAUACUUUGUUUAGUUUUUUGGGGGGACUUUCUGAUCCAACACCAUUUCUCCAGGGUACCAGAUUCUUGGUUCCAAAGAUGCAUUGGCAGUAAAACGCUGGAAUCCAAUCUAUCCAUUUAUAUAAAUUCACAAAGUUCCUGUACAGAUCAUUUCCCUUUUGUUUAUAAUACUUGCUAUGGAAGAGUACCCAGCGAUAUGCUAAUUGAACCAAUGCCGGUGUAAUCAAACAAACACAAAUCCCUAUGUACAUUUAAAUAAGUGGAGGUGUUUUAGUAAC